GAACGGACUAUUUUCGGAUAGUUAGUGGCGAAUGGGUGAGUAACACGUAAGUAACCUACCCCUAAGUGGGGAAUAACCCCGGGAAACCGGAGCUAAUACCGCAUGUGAUGGUAUGGGUAAUGCCGUAUCAUUAAAGCCUUCGGGCGCUUGGGGAUGGGCUUGUGGCCGAUUAGCUUGUUGGUGAGGUAACGGCCCACCAAGGCUUUGAUCGGUAGCUGGUUUGAGAGGAUGAUCAGCCACACUGGAACUGAGACACGGUCCAGACUCC
rnacentral:rRNA from 1 species